rnacentral:rRNA from 1 species
UACGAAGGGAGCUAGCGUUGUUCGGAAUCACUGGGCGUAAAGCGCACGUAGGCGGAUUUGUCAGUCAGGGGUGAAAUCCCGGGGCUCAACCUCGGAACUGCCUUUGAUACAGCAAGUCUUGAGUUCGAGAGAGGUGGGUGGAAUUCCUAGUGUAGAGGUGAAAUUCGUAGAUAUUAGGAAGAACACCGGUGGCGAAGGCGGCCCACUGGAUCGGUACUGACGCUGAGGAGCGAAAGCGUGGGGAGCGAACAGG